AGGGGGAUCUAACAGCUGUAGGGGAACUGAGAGAGAGGGGGGUAGAGGAAAGUUAACCAGCACACUUUCUUUCUGUGUGGGUUUGGAUCUACAGCUAGGGAAAAGGAGAAGGAAUAGAGAUACUGUAGGGGAGGGUAAUAGUUUGCUCUCCCAACUGCACACAUAGACAGUAAAACGACAACAUGUCUGACUCCAGCGGCAGUAAACCCUUCAUGGUGACUUCCUCCAUCAACCUCAAAGUCACCACCCCCUCCUUCUACAACCAGCCAAAGAAGUUUGCCUCGGUCAACCCGCCACGCCCCAAAAGCCAGUCCGACCCGUCGCCUCCCCCGGGCUCAACUCCUCCCGCAGGUCCCUCUCCUCCCCCCAGUCUGGUCUCCUCAACACGCGGUGUCGGCACAGCUGUCAUUGGUCGAGUUGGAGUGAUGCCUCCACCCCCACCAUCGCUCUGCGAAGACUUCCCGCCCCCUCCUCCUCCGUUGGACGAUGAGCUGCCAGCCCCUCCCCCCAACUGUGCAACCACACCCCCAGCCUCCGAUGCCCCUCCCCCUGCCUUCCCUCCCCCUCCCGCGGUGGAUGACCUCCCCCUCCCCCCCGCCCCGCUUGAGGAGAAUGCCUGUCUCCCCCGUUCCCCGUCUCCCCCUCCUCCACCACCCCCUCCCCCUCUCCCAGUCUCUGGUCCCAGUAGUGUCCCCAGUGCUGGGGAGAACUUUCAGCGUCUGGCAAAGCAGACUAGUUUUGACAAACAGCUGGAUUCUCUGACUGACCUGCUGUCUGAGAUGGAGACCAGAGGACCCUUCAACCCCAAGUUGCCCAGUCAGUACUCAGCUCCUCCUCCUCCUGCCCCCAAGCCUGCAGGGCCUCCCCCCACUGCUCCCAAGCCCAACCUCUCCUUCCUCCCCCCUCCAGAGAUGGGAGACAAGCCCCCUCCCGCUCCCUGGGCCGAGGAGCUCAAACUCCGGACGACACACAGACAAGCCAAUAACCCUAUAUCCACCCCAGUUCCUGCUCCUGCCCCACAGCCAUUUGCUAAAGCCCCAGUCGUGGCUCCUAAGGCUUUUGGGGGCAUGAAAACGGGGACAUCCGUGCCUCCUGUGGGACUGAAGAACCAGAACCAUGCCCCGGCUCCAUUUGGUGUUGCUCCUAAACCUUCCCCUACAGCCAGCUCCUUCCCUCCUCCUCCUGCCGCUCCUCCUGCCGCUCCUCCCGCCCCACCAGCCAACAAAGUGUCUCCCCCAGCCUUCAAUCACUCAAAGCCCUCUUCCAUUGACUCUCAGAUGACUGCUCCCAUGCCCCCUCCUCAGCCCAAAGCGAUGACAUCACCACCUUCUUUCAGCCAGCCAAUGAAAUCUCCCCCUUCAUCAAAGCCCUCGCCUCCUGGGCCUGUCUCUGUCCCAGGUGGAGGUGUUCCUCUCUCCAUGAGGGAGGUGGAGGAGCUGGAGAGAAUGACCAAUGCAUUCAUCAAAGACAUGGACACACACGCUCCCGUCAUCACCUCAGCACCUACAGAGGUAUGUGGUAAGUGUGGUGAGGCUCUGUCUCGUUCCCAGCCUGCAGUGAGAGCCAUGAACAAACUCUUCCACUCUGACUGUUUCUGCUGUAUGAGCUGCCAUCGCCCCCUGCAGGGCAUGCAGUUCUACGACAAGGACGGGACGCCACAGUGUGACGACUGCUACACUAGUUCUCUGGCGGUGUGUUCUCGGUGUGGGGAGCGUAUUACAGACCGUGUGUUGAAGGCGGUGGGCCAGUGUUUCCAUGCCCAUUGUUUCCGCUGCUGCACCUGCGCCUGCAGCCUGGAGGGGGCGCCUUUCAUCACCGACGACAACAACAACCCAUACUGUGUCCCAGACUACCACAGGCGUUUCUCUCCCCUGUGUGUGUGCUGUAAUGAGCCCAUAGUUCCUGACGCCGGCAGUCAAGAGACCGUGAGAGUAAGGCCCAACAAGAACUUCCACCUCAAGUGCUACCGCUGUGAGGUAAGGACAACAGACCUGCUACAUCUAAAGUACUACCGCUGUGAGGUAAGGACAACAGACCUGCUACAUCUAAAGUGCUACCGCUGUGAGGUAAGGACAACAGACCUGCUACAUCUAAAGUACUACCGCUGUGAGGUAAGGACAUCAGACCUGCUACAUCUAAAGUACUACCGCUGUGAGGUAAGGACAUCAGACCUGCUACAUCUAAAGUACUACCGCUGUGAGGUAAGGACAACAGACCUGCUACAUCUAAAGUACUACCGCUGUGAGGUAAGGACAACAGACCUGCUACAUCUAAAGUACUACCGCUGUGAGGUAAGGACAUCAGACCUGCUACAUCUAAAGUACUACCGCUGUGAGGUAAGGACAUCAGACCUGCUACAUCUAAAGUACUACCGCUGUGAGGUAAGGACAACAGACCUGCUACAUCUAAAGUACUACCGCUGUGAGGUAAGGACAACAGACCUGCUACAUCUAAAGUACUACCGCUGUGAGGUAAGGACAACAGACCUGCUACAUCUAAAGUACUACCGCUGUGAGGUAAGGACAUCAGACCUGCUACAUCUAAAGUACUACCGCUGUGAGGUAAGGACAACAGACCUGCUACAUCUAAAGUACUACCGCUGUGAGGUAAGGACAUCAGACCUGCUACAUCUAAAGUACUACCGCUGUGAGGUAAGGACAACAGACCUGCUACAUCUAAAGUACUACCGCUGUGAGGUAAGGACAACAGACCUGCUACAUCUAAAGUACUACCGCUGUGAGGUAAGGACAACAGACCUGCUACAUCUAAAGUACUACCGCUGUGAGGUAAGGACAACAGACCUGCUACAUCUAAAGUACUACCGCUGUGAGGUAAGGACAACAGACCUGCUACAUCUAAAGUACUACCGCUGUGAGGUAAGGACAACAGACCUGCUACAUCUAAAGUACUACCGCUGUGAGGUAAGGACAACAGACCUGCUACAUCUAAAGUACUACCGCUGUGAGGUAAGGACAUCAGACCUGCUACAUCUAAAGUACUACCGCUGUGAGGCAUUUUUCCUAUUUUGUUGCCUUACCUGGAAUUAAAGUUGUAUCAUUUGCAUAACUAUUCACCCCCCCAAAGUCAAUACUUUGUAGAGCCACCUUUUGCAGGAAUUACAGCUGUAAGUCUCUUGGGGUAUGUCUCUAAAAGCUUGCCACAUCUAGCCACUGCUCCUUCAAGUUGGAUGGGUUCUGCUGGUGUACAGCAAUCUUUGUCAUAUCACAUAUUUCCAAUUGGAUUGAGCUCUGGGCUUUGACUAGACCAUUCCAAGACAUUUAAAUGUUUCCCCAUGAACAUCUGGAGUGUUGCUUUAGCAGUAUGCUUAGGAUCAUUGUCCUGUUGGACGGUGAACCUCCGUCCCAGUCUCAAAUCUCUGAAAGACUGAAACAGAUUUCCCUCAAGAAUUUCCCUGUAUUUAGCACCAUCCAUCAUUCCUUCAAUUCUGACCAGUUUCCUAGUCCCUGCCGAUGCAAUGGAGUUCUCGGGGUGAUGAGGGGGUGAUGAGCGUUCUCGGGGUGAUGAGCGUUCUCGGGGUGAUGAUUCUCGGGGUGAUGAGCGUUCUCGGGGUGAUGAGAGUUGUUGGGUUUACGCCAGGCAUAGCAUUUAUCUUGAUGGCCAAAAAGCUCCAUUUUAGUCUCAUCUGACCAGAGUACCUUCUUCCAUAUGUUUGGGGAGUCUCCCAAAUGCUUUUUGGCGAACACUUUAAGCAAUGGCUUUUCUGGCCACCCUUCUGUAAAGCCCAGCUCUGUGGAAUGUACGGCAUAAAGUGGUCCUACGGGCAGAUACUCCAAUCUCUGCUGUGGAACUUUGCAGUUCCUUCAGGGUUAUCUUUGGUCUCUUUGUUGCCUCUCUGAUUAAUGCCCUCCUUGGCUGGUCUAUGAGUUUUGGUGGCGGCCCUCUCUUGGCAGGUUUGUUGUAGUGCCAUAUUCUUUCCAUUUUUUUAAAUAAUGGAUUUACUGGUGCUCUGUGGGAUGUUCAAAGUUUCGGAUAUUUUUUUAUAACCCAACCCUGAUCUGUACUUCUCCACAACUUUGUCCCUGACUUGUUUGGAGAGCUCCUUGGUCUUCAUAGUGCUGCUUGCUUGGUGGUGCCCCUUGCUUACUGGUGUUGCACACUCUGGGGGCUUUCAGAACAGGUGUAUGUGUAUAUCUAUCUAUCGAUCAUGUGACUGAUCAUGUGACACUUAAAGUCCACCUGUGUGCAAUCUAUUUAACUAAUUAUGUGACUUCUGAAGGUAAUUGGUUGCACCAGAUCUUAUUUAGGGGCUUCAUAGCGAAGGGGGUGAAUACAUAUCCAUGCAACACUUUUCAGUUUUUUAUUUUAUAGAAUUUUUUGAAACAAGUAAUUUUUCUGGGGACUAUUUUGUGUAUGUCCAUUACAUGAAAUCCAAAUAAAAAUACAUUUAAAUUACAGGUUGUAAUGCAACAAAAUAGGAAAAACGCCACGGGGGAUGAAUACUUUUGCAAGGAACUGUAAAGAAAGUGCCAGAUGUAAAGAUGAACUCCUAAAGAUGUAUUAUGAAGAGAUGGAUAAAUAUCUUAACAGUUGGAAUGGAGUCCCUGUGUGUUUUGGAUGUAACUGUUUUCCAGUGACCUUCUGCACAUCCUGAAGUCUCUCUUCCUGGUUGCAGGAUUGUUCCCGCCCCCUCUCCAUAGAGGCGGACGCAGACGGCUGCUACCCAUUGAACGGCAGGAUCCUGUGCAUGAAGUGCCACACCCAGCGGGCCAAGGCUAUGCAGUGAUUGGUGGACACAUCUGUUAUUCAAGUCUAACUUUGAACCAAAUCCAAGACGGGAUCCAUUCAGCUUCUACCAUUCUGUCUUUGCAACAGGGCUUUACUUGUGCGCUGUGAGUGAGGUGAGUGAGUGAGGUGAGUGAGUGAGGUGAGUGAGUGAGGUGAGUGAGGUGAGUGAGUGAGGUGAGGUAGUGAGGUGAGUGAGGUAGUGAGGUGAGUGAGGUGAGUGAGGUAGUGAGGUGAGUGAGUGAGGUGAGUGAGUGAGGUGAGUGAGGUGAGUGAGGAGUGAGUGAGGUGAGUGAGGUAGUGAGGUAGUGAGGUGAGUGAGGUAGUGAGGUAGUGAGGUGAGUGAGGUGAGUGAGGUGAGUGAGUGAGUGAGUGAGUGAGUGAAAGCGAGUAUGUUUGCAUGCAGAUGUCGUUAUGUCUCUCUCCUCUUUCUGCUUAUUUCCCCUCUCAGUCCAGAGGUAAUGUACUGCACUGAGAGACUCCAUUCCUCCUCCCAUUCUCCCCUUGUGUUAAUGCCAGUGUUAUCAAGGCCAUUUUUUGUUUAUGCUUAAAUUCCCAGCAUGACUUGCACAAGUAUAGCUUAGUCAUGGGCUGUCCCAACAGUCAAAGAUGGUUUCCUCUCCUCUUCUCUCUCCACUGAUAGGAAAACAUGUUGAUAAGGUUUCAGACUUAACUUUGAUUUGUCUUUCACUUUUCAGUGGCACGGAAGGAAAAGAGUGGAAGUAUUUCAGAGUGAGACAUAGUAACAGUAAGAUCAAGUUGACCCUAAAUGCUGAUCUUGGGUCAGUCUUGCAAUCCCCCCCUUACUGAUUAUGGUUAGAUCUUAGAUCUGUGCCUACUGGCAACUUUUCCCAGAAGUUUAGUGUAACCCCCUGACCCCAGUGCACGAGGAGUUGAACAAAAGUUUAAGGUGGACUAAUUCAUGUUCCCCUGCACCUCCCAUAGGGCUGAGCUCUGGUGGGCUGGUGGCACCGGAAGCACUUUGGAGUGCCUGCAAACAUACAAGUUGCUUAACUGCCUUUAGAGAGUGCUUUCUACAGAACUACAUAUCCCACCAGACACAAUGUAGCAGAGCAGUGUGCUGUAGGAAAUGUAGUUCCUCUUGGGCUAAAAACUGAGUGCAAAAAAACAACAAAAAUAUGUGAAUGUCGCUCUCGUUUGUUUUUGUUGUGUGCGUUUGUUGCUUUAUAGGCAUGCAUAGCUACAGAUCACUGUCAGUUACUCUCACCAGUUUGUCAAGCACAGAAUGAGGGUACAAUACGAUCAAAAUGACCAUUUAUUUCUUUGGCAAAAGAAUAGAAGAUUUAAGAUCAUGAUUAGAGACACUACCUAGAACAAAGGUCAAAAGUUAGCCAAGCACAGAUUCCAUUCCUAUGAUCUCCUCAUGUUAAAUAGAGUGCUGUAGUUUAAAGAGGACCACAUGGCUUAGAACAGAACCUACGCUACAGGCAGAAGUUGCUCUUAACCUCUAGGAUCAGAUUACCCUACCUCAUCCCUAAUCUUAAUUUAAAGGGGGUGGAGGGAAAACAUCGGAUCCUGCAUCAGUAGUUAGGGGCAACUUCCAGGACCUACAGUACAGUAUAAUCCUAUCAUCCUCAAUGAAGCGCUCUUGAACGCAUACUUAUGUAGUGUGCAGGUGAGUUAAGAUAUCUAAUGAGUAACAUAGAGAUAUUACCUCUCAUUAAUUCAAUUCACCUAAAGGUCAACUCGUGGAUUUUUGCACUAUACACCUGCAUUUACAAAUGCUUCGUAUUUUGGGCAUUUGCAGCUCUCUGAAUAACAUAAUAGAACUGGCUCUGAAUCAGGGUUUUAAGUAUUAUAAACAUGCGACAGAUCAAAUGGCCAGUCUGUUUUCCAGUAGAGUGUAGUAGGUCAUUGACUGUAGCAGUAGCAUGUAGAUCAAACCAAUACAGUUCAAGGUGAUGGUAGCACGUCACUCAAACGCAUCACACUUUAAAUUCACUGCCAAGUUUUAAUCAUAUUUUGUGUGCUUUACACAGUAUAUUGUUCCUCUUCCUUUCUCAUAAUACUCCAAUAAAUACCACUGUUUCCAUUAUUCAGCUUAGUUUUCUUUUAUGUCUCGAUAUCAGUUAUAUUUACUCUGCUUGUAAUCUUACCAUACUGUAUUUAAUUGAUAAGUACUUAUUUUCAGUGAUUUUACUGUGAAACUUGGUGAGUUGCCAUUUCCACCCUAGUAUUCCUAUCUCUCCUUUUCAGACUGGUUUGGCACCGAACACCGAUCCUUAUUACAAUCCUCAGUCUGGCAUAGCAACACAACCCUCAUGACCAAACUAACAUCCUAAACCAUAUGGCCAAACAGACUCCAUAUGCAUGUUAUCUGGGUCGUCGGUAUCAUCUUUAGUAUUCUCAGUUGUUUUCCUUUUUUAUUUGCACAAAUGAUUCCACCCUUGUGACCAUGCCUUUGUCUUCUGUCAGACCAUUGGUGUGUGAUGAUGCCUUCAAAAACACCACUUUGCUCAAUGAUGAUUGCCUUGUUCUUUUCAUAUAGUUUUGAUAAAUUCCUCUUAUAUGUGUGUGUAUGUUUACGGUUCCAAACAUGCCAACAUUAAUUACCUGUACAUGUCAUUCUUUUUCUUCUUUAAUUUUACUGUACUCAAAAUAAAACUGCUAAUUGCCUAAA